rnacentral:rRNA from 1 species
UACGGAGGGUGCAAGCGUUAUCCGGAUUCACUGGGUUUAAAGGGUGCGUAGGCGGAUAGGUAAGUCCGUGGUGAAAUCCUGCAGCUUAACUGCAGAACUGCCGUGGAUACUAUCUAUCUUGAAUAUCGUGGAGGUUAGCAGAAUAUGUCAUGUAGCGGUGAAAUGCUUAGAUAUGACAUAGAAUACCCAUUGCGAAGGCAGCUAACUACGCGAUAAUUGACGCUGAUGCACGAAAGCGUGGGGAUCAAACAGG